UAGCAUGCGAGUGUUCGGGUGCCAAACCCCUACGCGAAAUGAAAGUGAACGGAGGUGAGAGCUUCGGCGCAUCAUCGACCGAUCCUGAAGUUUACGGAUGGAUUUGAGUAGGAGCAUGCUGGGCCGGACCCGAAAGAAGGUGAACUAUGCUUGGAUAGGGCAAAGCCAGAGGAAACUCUGGUGGAGGCUCGCAGCGGUUCUGACGUGCAAAUCGAUCGUCAAAUCUGAGCAUGGGGGCGAAAGUAAGUGAAAAUACAGUGGACUCUACAGUGGGCUUAGUGGGCAGUGGGCUAACGUGCAGCAGGACUAAUCGAACCUUCUAGUAGCUGGUUUCCGCCGAAGUUUCCCUCAGGAUAGCAGUGUUGAGCUUCAGUUUUAUGAGGUAAAGCGAAUGAUUAGGGACUCGGGGGCGCUAUUUAGCCUUCAUCCAUUCUCAAACUUUAAAUAUGUAAGAAGCCCUCGUUCCUUCGGUGAACGUGGGCAAUCGAAUGUAUCAGCACUAGUGGGCCAUUUUUGGUAAGCAGAACUGGCGAUGCGGGAUGAACCGAUCGCGAGGAUAAGGUGCCAGAGUAGACGCUCAUCAGACACCACAAAAGGUGUUAUCACAUCUUGACAGCAGGACGGUGGCCAUGGAAGUCGGAAUCCGCUAAGGACUGUGUAACAACUCACCUGCCGAAUGUGAUAGCCCUGAAAAUGGAUGGCGCUCAAGCGUCUCACCCAUACCUCGCCUUCAGGGUAGACACUAUGCCCUGAAGAGUAGGCGGACGUGGGGGUCGUGACGAAGGCUAGGGCGUGAGCCCGGCCAGAACGGCCCCCAGUGCAGAUCUG
rnacentral:rRNA from 1 species